GCAACCAUCAAGCGCGGCUUGUGUUGAGCUUUUUAACAUGUUCUCCAUUGUGAACAAGCUUAAAAUGCAGUGGCGAUGCCGAGUUUUUGGUGCCCAAGCGUUAUAGGGCUUUGUCACGCGCUUUGGUGGCCCAAGUCGGCAAUUAUUCAGCCCUAUUUCUUUUAUUUUGACCAG
rnacentral:misc_RNA from 1 species